AUUAACUCUUUAAUUUAGUUUGUAAACUUAGAAAACGCAUUUCAUCUCUCUCGUCUCAUCAUCAGAAUCCCUUUCGUCUCUCUCUCUGCUCAUCAGUCUUAAACCUAGAAAAACUCGCCAUCGAUGAACUGUGGGGGCCGCUCUGACGAAGGAAGAUCCAUUCUGGCGAAGGACAACCAUUUCGGCUAAUAUAAGGGGAUCUCAGAUGUAGGUUAUCGGUAUUUUCCCAUGUUCGAUAUUGUUGUUUGAUGUUCGCUAUCGUUUCGCCGGAAACUUAUUUCACUGCUUCUUCUUUUUUCUUUCUCUGGUAAAAUUUCUGAUAAACCCGUUAAUUUACUUUGCCUUUUGUUUGUAGUAUAUGUUAAAUUUUGUGGUUUCUAGUUUGUAAAAUUGGGGCUUUAGUUGGUGAAUUUUGAUAGAUGAAAGGGCUGUUGAAAAUAGAUCAAUUUAAUGUUUAAAUCUUUUUAAAGAUAAUGAUUCGGGAAAUUAAACCAUUGUUAAGACAACUAGUUCAUACAGAUAAGUUGAUUCGGGUUUAGUUGGAGGUUUAGAGGGUGUUUGGCUAAGCUUAUAAGCUGGUCAAACUAGCUUAUAAGCACUUUUCGGCUUAUCUACGCAUUUGGUAAAGUUAAAAGUGCUUAUAAGUCAUGUGCUUAUAAGUCAAAAAUAAGCCAAAAGCCAUAAGUUGGUCACCCCCAACUUAUGAAUUUUUAGCUUAUAAGCACUUUAAGUUUGACCAAGAUUUUUUACUAUUUUAUCCUUAAAAUAUUCUUCUUUAGAAAAAAAAAAUACUUGCAUCGAUACUCACUGCCUCAAGUAUUGUUUCAACCUAAACCCCGCCUCUUAAAGUAUUGAAUUCUCAUUGACUAUUUAAGAUAAGCAAAUUCUCUAUUCCUUUGCAUAUUUGUAUCUUUGUGAUUGUGUAUUAAUCUUUGAAUUGUAUGUAAUAAAUGAGGACAUAUUAAAAUUUUUGGUGUAUUGCAUUCUAAGUGUUGUGGUGAUGAAGACAAUGUUUGUUACUCUUCAAAUAUUUUGUCCUAUUUAGAUUUAUUUUUUACUGAGAAACUUUUGUCAAUGUAUUUAACUAUUAUAACUUAUAAUUAUAUGCUUAUCAUAAAAUAAAUUAUAUUUAUCAUAAAAAUUAUCUUAUCUAAGCAUAUUUGUAUUUAAAAUAAAAUGACAAAUAGAAUAUCUAAGCAUAUUUGUAAGUCAUUUUAACAGAAAAAGAUCUUAUCAGCAUUUUUUUUAUCAAAUACUACAAUAACUUAUUAUUAAUUUCAGCACUUGUAUCCAAACACGUAACUGCUUAUUUAUUAAAUCAGUUUCAGCACUUAAAAAGUGCUUUUCAGCACCUAAUGCUUAUCAGCUGCUUCAAAUCAGCUAAUCCAAACAGGCUCUUAGUAUGGACUUUUAUAAGUGGCUUUUAUUCUAUCUGUCUUAUUAUCUGAUUUUUUUUAUUAAGAGUAUAUAAACCAAUUUAUACUGGUUGUUUUGUUGUUGCUGCAUAUAUUCUGCUUGCUGCUAUUGUUAUUUUAUCUUCUUUCACUGCUUUUUCUUUGUCGUCACUGCUACUUUUGUUUUAAAUUUUCUGUUCUUGCAUAUGACCUUGCCAGGUGAAUAAGAAAAGAGAAAACUCAUAGGAAGAGGCUUAUUGUGGAGGUAAUAGUCUGGUCCUUUGUUUUCACUUUUUCCUUUGGCUUUUCCUUGUCUUGCAAUCUGAAACCAUUACUUGGAAACCAUCAUAUAUGCAUCCUUUCCAACUUACCAUGUGAGGUCAUAGUUUAUUCUGAAACUAUCAUAUGCAGCGCAUUGCCAUAGUUUACUCUGAAACUAUCAUAUGCAUAUCCUUAACUUAUCAUAUGAAGCUGCACUUUAUUUGUCAUUCUAUUGUUAUCAUUUAUAUAAUACCUAUUAAAGCUAUUUUUAUUUGUAUUCUUCAUUUAUCUUGGCCAUUGCUGUUGUCUUUCCCAUCUUUCUCUGCUUCAUUGCUGCUGUCUUUUUUUUUCUUUUCGUUUUUCACUUUGUUGCUACUGCAUGUAUACUCUGCUCGAUGUUGCUGCCAUUUUUAAAGACUAGCCAAAGGUCUUGCAAUCUGAAAUUUCCUAAAACUACUAAACAAAAUACAAUCAUACUUGGACAAGGUGUACAACAUCAAAAGAUAAUUAAGCUAUAAGCAGAAACGAUUAAAUUGUAGAAUGCAAAAAUCGAAGAUGUCUUGGCUUCAUCAGAAGUGUCAAAUUGCUAGUCACUGAGUACUAUUGUGGAGAUAUUAUUGCAGUUGCUCCACACUCAUGAUUGAAGCAAGAAAACGACUAGUUUGGACCAAAUGCCAUAGCGCAUAGGGUUUAACUUUAUUGUUGCUUCUAAUUUGUGAAUUACUCAUCCAAUAUAGCUAUAUUAUCUAAUUUAAUAGGCUUAAGGGUGCUUUACUGUUUUCCUUUUCUGAUUUCUUCCUAUUGUAUGUGAAUUUCCUACUUGUCUUAGAAGAAAAGUAGAUUAUCGUCUACUGUAAAGAAUAUCAGUUGUUUUUAACAGUAAUCUAAUUUUCUAAAUAUGCAUUGAAUACAUUAUGAGUUGAACCAAAGUAUUUUUGCCAGGGCUUAAUGCUUCUUAGGUGCUUCAUGUAGCCUUGUAUUUAUAGGAAGUUAUGACCACAUCUUUAUUUUCCUUUUCAAAGUUUAGCUGAGAAAACUUGUCCAGUUGUUGUUUGAUGUUUCUUUCUGUUGGCAGAAAGUUAUUACCAAAUCUUCUUUUUCCUUUUCGAAGUUUAGCUGAAAAAACUCGUCCAGUUAUUGUUUGAUGUUUCUUUCUGUUGGGAUAGUCGUAUUUACAAAGGAAACUCUACCGAAAAUUUUAAAAAUUUAGAUGUUUCUUUCUGUUGGUCAUUCAGUUACUUUGUGAUUCAAUUAUCUUAAAUUUUUCUUUGUUUAAUUCUGAUUGAAUUUCGUAGGUGUAGCUAUUGCGGAUGAAAGCAGUGAUGAAGACCUUACUUGAGUGUUGUUGAUCGUUGUUAAACUUUCUAUCAUCAUGUUCAAGGAUUGUUGGACUCAUCGAUCAAUUUUGACUUUUGAAUUGUUGAUUAAACAAUGUAUUUAUAAUUUGUUUUUGUAUAUGGAUAAUGCGAGUUGGUAAUUUAAUUUUAUUUCGUGGUUUAUAUAAGUUAUGGUGUAUAAAAUUUCAUUGCAUAGGAAAAUAUUCGUCAUUUUGGUUCCAUAAAUAUUAGAAAUUACAAUAGUGAAUUGUUGCAAUAGAC
rnacentral:lncRNA from 1 species